GUAAGGAACCCUUCCCCUGGGGCUGAUCCCUGGCCGACAGUCGACCGUGGGGUGCCAGAGGGGGGUGGGAGCUCGGUGAGGCAUUUUCCCGGUUCUUUGUCACCCUUUGGCUUACUCCUGCGUGUCGGCAGUGGCCCACGCCCGCAAUGGGGGGGCGCAAGCCCGGGACUUGCCACCAGUGCACCUCUCGGCGUCCGCGACUGGCCUCUCGGGGCCUUUCCGCGUGGGCUGAGUUGGUAGCCGGCAAGUACCUUGAGCAGACAUGUUGGGACCCGAAAGAUGGUGAACUAUGCUUGGCCAGGACGAAGCCAGAGGAAACUCUGGUGGAGGUCCGCCGCGAUUCUGACGUGCAAAUCGAUCGUCGGAGCUGAGUAUAGGGGCGAAAGACUAAUCGAACCAUCUAGUAGCUGGUUCCCUCCGAAGUUUCCCUCAGGAUAGCUGGUACUCGAGAGUAAUUUCAUCCGGUAAAGCGAAUGGAUUAGAGGUCUUGGGGGACGAAACGUCCUCAACCUAUU
rnacentral:rRNA from 1 species